rnacentral:rRNA from 1 species
UACGUAGGGGGCAAGCGUUGUCCGGAAUCAUUGGGCGUAAAGCGCGUGUAGGCGGCUUGGUAAGUCUGCUCUGAAAGCCCGGGGCUCAACCCCGGGAGGCGGAUGGAUACUGCUGGGCUCGAGUACGGAAGAGGCGAGUGGAAUUCCCGGUGUAGCGGUGAAAUGCGCAGAUAUCGGGAGGAACACCAAUGGCGAAGGCAGCUCGCUGGGACGUUACUGACGCUGAGACGCGAAAGCGUGGGGAGCAAACAGG